GCUCAGGAUGAACGCUGGCGGCGUGCUUAACACAUGCAAGUCGAGCGAAGCACUUUUGCGGAUUUCUUCGGAUUGAAGCAAUUGUGACUGAGCGGCGGACGGGUGAGUAACGCGUGGGUAACCUGCCUCAUACAGGGGGAUAACAGUUGGAAACGGCUGCUAAUACCGCAUAAGCGCACAGUACCGCAUGGUACCGUGUGAAAAACUCCGGUGGUAUGAGAUGGACCCGCGUCUGAUUAGCUAGUUGGUGGGGUAACGGCCUACCAAGGCGACGAUCAGUAGCCGACCUGAGAGGGUGACCGGCCACAUUGGGACUGAGACACGGCCCAAACUCCUACGGGAGGCAGCAGUA
rnacentral:rRNA from 1 species